AACAAGUUAGAAACAAAGGAAUGAAUUGAAGCUAGGAACUUGGGAGUUAGCCCAAAAAUAGCUUGGAGAAUUUGUUCUGCAGUGUAGGUGUACACUUGGGC